rnacentral:rRNA from 1 species
UACGUAGGGUGCGAGCGUUGUCCGGAAUUACUGGGCGUAAAGAGCUCGUAGGUGGUUUUGUCGCGUUGUCCGUGAAAACUCACAGCUCAACUGUGGGCGUGCGGGCGAUACGGGCAGACUGGAGUACUGCAGGGGGAGACUGGAAUUCCUGGUGUAGCGGUGGAAUGCGCAGAUAUCAGGAGGAACACCGGUGGCGAAGGCGGGGUCUCUGGGCAGUAACUGACGCUGAGGAGCGAAAAGCGU